AUGCUCCGAAAGGCGCAGCUUGAUACGACCGCAGAGGUCGAACCCUGAACAGUUGGGGCAAGUAUGGACACAACAUUCAAGCUUGAUACAGCUCUGAAUUUGGAUUGUGAUUAAAUAUUUGACACAGCAUAGGUUUCUGACACAGAAUGAAUGUGGUCUAAGAACUUAAAAAUUUUUAAAUUGGACAUUCACCUAUUAUGGUCCAAUAUCCAAAAUCUAAAUACAUGGUUAGAUUCAGCAUAUAAAAGAACCCCAAGAAUUCAAUUUUUGAUGAAAUCAAACAAAGUUUAAUUUUGGACCCUUUUGACCUCAAUGUGGACAAAGUUGAUAACGGGGCCCAAAAAUCAAAAAUCUAAAUACAUGGUUAGAUUCAGCAUAUCAAAGAACCCCAUAUAUUCAAUAUUUGUUGAAAUCAAACAAAGUUUAAUUUUUGACCCCGAUUUGGACCAACUUGAAAACUGGGCCCAUAAUCAAAAAUCUAAAUACAUGUUUAGAUUCAGCAUAUCAAAGAACCCUAAGAAUUCAAUUUUUGUUAAAAUCAAACUAAGUUUAAUUUUGGACCCUUUGGACGAUGAUGUAGACCAAUUUGAAAACGGAACCAAAAAUUAAGAAUCUAAAUACACGGUUAGAUUCGGCAUAUCAAAGAACCCCAAUAACUCAAUUUUUGAUGAAAUCAAACAAAGUUUAAUUUUGGACCCUUUGGACCUCAAUGUGGACCAAUUUAAAAACGGGGCCCAAAAUCCAAAAAAUAAAUACACGGUUAGAUUCAGCAUAUUAAAGAACCCCAAGAAUUCAAGAAUAAAACCCCAUUGAAAUUGGUCAAGAAAUAAGCAAUUUAUAUGAAGUAUCUUCUUUUGCACAAUACUGUGCAAUUAAAUAUUUCUUGCUAUUGGGCAAUACUGUACAAUUGACAAUUUCUUCCUAUUGCGCAAUAUUGUGCUAUGGAUAUUUCUUGCUAUUGCGCAAUACUGUGCAAUUGAAGAUUUCUUGCUAUUGCGCAAUACUGUGCAAUUGAAGAUUUCUUGCUAUUGUGCAAUACUGUGCAAUUGAAAAUUUCUUGCUAUUACACAAUACUUAUUAUAUAAUAAUUUACACAUCCUGUUUGGUGUGUAUCUCCUACCAUAUCAUUAUUAUUUGCUUUUAAAUAUAAAUCAGAAAUAACCAACUUAAAAUGGAAAAUUUUAAAAGGAAAAAAAAAAAAAUCCCAGCCUUCCCUUUGUGGUAUGGUACCUUGCAGUACAAUUUCAGAGAGAUCCAUACACUUGAACACAAGUUAUUGUCUGGAAACUAGAAAAAUGUGUUUUUUGGCCCCUUUUGGCCCCAAAUUCCUAAACGUUUAGGGCAAUUACCCCCAAACUCAAACCCAGCUUUCCCUUUGUGAUAUGGAACCUUGUAGUACAAUUUCAGAAAGAUCCAUACACUUACACACAAGUUAUUGUCCUGAAACUAGAAAAAUGCUUGUUUUUUGCCCCUUUUUUGCCCCUAAUUCCUAAAAUAUUGAGGCAAUUACCCCCAUCAUCAAUCCCAGCCUUUCCUUUGUGGUAUGGUACCUUGCAGUACAAUUUCAGAGAGAUCCAUACACUUGAACACAAUUUAUUGUCUGGAAACUAGAAAAAUGCUUAUUUUUGGCCCCUUUUUGGCCCCCAAUUCCUAUACGUUUCGGCAAUUACCCCCAAACUCAAUUCCAGCUUUCCCUUUGUGAUAUGGAACCUUGUAGUACAAUUUCAGAAAGAUCCAUACACUUACACACAAGUUAUUGUCAUGAAACUAGAAAAAUGCUUGUUUUUUUACCCUUUUUUGGCCCCUAAUUCCUAAAAUUUUGAGGCAAAUACCCCCAAAA